CUGGUUCCUUGCAGCUGUGACUCCCCAGGGUAAGAGGCAAAGAGCCACCAGGUCCCAGCUGAGGAAGCCCUGUGGUCAGCUCAGACAGGGAUGCGGACUGAAGCCGAAGCAGGUGUUAGUAAUUGUCGUACCUACAGACGAGGAAACCGAGCCUCCAUGAAGUGAAGUGACUCACCCACAGUCACACAGCUAAUAUAUGCCAGAGCCCACAGCAGAACCCAGACGUACUGAGGCCAAGUUCCAUGCCAGCAUAAAACAGGGCCUGCUGAAAUGCCUAGCGCUUCAACAAGGUGAGCUCUUGUAGGCCAGGGGCCAAAUGACGGACAUCAUGUGCCACCAACACCACACAGAUGAAGGCGGUGGGCCAGGGCAGAGUUCUGGUUCUCCUGCAUCCUAAGAUGAAAGCUAAAGUCAGAAAGGAGGGAGGAAGACAAUGACGACAUUUAAAACCUAAAAACAGCGGCCAUUUCCAACUCAG
rnacentral:lncRNA from 10 species